UGCCACUCUGUCCCGUGACGUCAGCUCGUACUCUUAUGAAUACACCACGCCCACCAUCUGAUUUGCAUAAUGACUUCGACCAAGGCGAAUGGGAGAGCAGGUUGACUAAGGACCCCACAGGGCAGAGUGAGAACUCAAACAUUUGGGUAGAGUGUAAAGGUUGGGACAUUUAAAUGAUGCAAAUUCAACAUUAGUGCUUCUUCCCCUGCUUAUCUGCGGUGGUUUAAGUUUGUCUCAGAGAGCAAAUUUUGAUGCUCCUUUUGCUGGAAAAAUAUUGACCUGAUUUUCAACUAGUUUUAGUUCAUCUCUAGUUCGUAAUUUAUUAAUAAUAGAAAUCAAUUUAGAAAUCUAAAUUGCUUUUAAUGACUUAAAUGUUAAGAGAACCAACCCUGCAUUUUUUUUAUUUUGUAUAAAUGAAGAUUCACGAUAGGUAGGCGGUGUUACUAAAAAUGCUGUCCUCAUAACCAUUCUUUGGUGUGGUGAACAUUUGGUGUGGUGAACAUAUUUGGCCAUGUUGUCUAUCCCCUGAGGUAAAUAAUGUGAUUUAUCUGGUAUACUAGGGUAAAAAAAAAGUCUCUAUGAGAUGUAUAGAAAGAAAAGCAGGAGAGUUGUAUGUCUUAGGACCAGUAUUGAAAAACACUCUCAUGAACCCUUGUAGAAAUGAUCUUUACACCAGCAGUUCUCAAUCCUGGACCUCAGGAGACAGGUCCCUGUUGAUUUUCAUUCUAACCAGCUAACAAGGACUAUUGUACACCUGGGACACCCGGUGAAUUCUACUGGUGGAGCAGAAAACCAAUACAGCUGGGUGAGGUACUCACUCCUCUGAGGUCGCCCACAUCUGUUAGGUAGUUUCGCUAUCAGUGAUGAUGAGACCAGUGUGCAGCUGAGUUACCCAUGCAAGUCAACCCUACAUUCCUUGGAGUCAGACGAGGACCUUCACAUUGUGUGACUCGACAGAAAGAGCACAGGGGAGUUUACACAGCAGUCAUCCAUUCUCAAGUUCAUUUCUGCACCUUGCACCAACAGUCUGCACUCUUUUUCCAUCAGAUGUGGCAGAUGCGGAACCUUGUUAGCUGUUUUAGCUUAUAUUAGCAAAAAUAAUUGUAUUCCUGUUAUAUGCAGUAUCCAGAGUUUGAUCAAAGUGGUUAGCUGUUUUUUUUUCUGUUGUAGGCUUUUUCAACAGCUUGAGGUGAGCUGGAGCGCCCUUGGCAGCACGAGAAACACACAUUUUUAAUGGGCGUCUUUAUGUCACCGCAGAGCUGCCAUCACAGUCUAUUUUUAUUUUGGUUGAGGCCCGGCAGGAUCAACGGUGUGGCAUUUGAAGCUCUUGCCGCUGACUCACAAACAGUGUUGCUUCAGAGAGCCUACACAACUAGUUCACAAGCUGUUAUGUCGCACAUGUUGCCUUCCAUCAUGCUGCUUUGGAAAGACUGAAAUAAAGUAACAC